GUGCCUGUAAGCCAAUGGUUAGACUACCGAACUGAUAUUUCGGCAACGGAGGUUCGAUUCCUCUCAGGCACA
rnacentral:tRNA from 1 species